AUUUUCAGGGAACAGAGAAGGACAAGCGUGUUACUGAGAGAGAAGAGAAGACCAAGAAGUCUUUGAGCAUAAAUGAGUUUCUGAAACCUGCAAAUGGAGAAAGGUACUACCCAAGAGGUGGUUACCGUGGUGGAAGGGGAGGACGUGGGCAACGAGAUGGAAACCAGAAGAACGGAGAAGCUGCUGGCCCAGGCAAUGAGGGAGGACGUGGACAAAGAGGAGGAGGAAAC